GAUGAACGCUGGCGGCGUGCCUAAUACAUGCAAGUCGAGCGAACAGACGAGGAGCUUGCUCCUCUGACGUUAGCGGCGGACGGGUGAGUAACACGUGGAUAACCUACCUAUAAGACUGGGAUAACUUCGGGAAACCGGAGCUAAUACCGGAUAAUAUAUUGAACCGCAUGGUUCAAUAGUGAAAGACGGUUUUGCUGUCACUUAUAGAUGGAUCCGCUCCGCAUUAGCUAGUUGGUAAGGUAACGGCUUACCAAGGCAACGAUGCGUAGCCGACCUGAGAGGGUGAUCCGCCACACUGGAACUGAGACACGGUCCAGACUCCUACGGGAGGCAGCAGUAGGGAAUCUUCCGCAAUGGGCGAAAGCCUGACGGAGCAACGCCGCGUGAGUGAUGAAGGUCUUCGGAUCGUAAAACUCUGUUAUUAGGGAAGAACAAAUGUGUAAGUAACUAUGCACGUCUUGACGGUACCUAAUCAGAAAGCCACGGCUAACUACGUG
rnacentral:rRNA from 1 species